rnacentral:misc_RNA from 1 species
ACAUGAUGUAUGUUUACUAAAUAAUCGGUCAGCUGUUUUUGUUUACCAACAAUUCUUGAAAAUGGGGAGCACCUAAAAACGAAAAAAAAAUACGUUUUGGCUGAAACCGAAGUCUGCAUGAAUCAGGGCAGAACCAUCCAUGUUUUUCAGCUCAAUUGACAAAACAGUCUGCUACAAUUGACUACAUUAAAUUUAUUUAAAGUGAUGUGCAAAUCAGUUCAGAGUUAAAUGUAAUUACAGGAGUACCCACAUUGAUAAAUCCGAUAACUAGUGUCUAAACCAUAACAUUUCGUUCAUUUUCGCAAAACAAAACAAACAGAUUAUUUUGGAGCUCCGACAACUUCACGAUUUGGUUCCUUAAGGAUGGAGGAAAUAUGCAGAGUUUGCAUGGGAACGUCCGGAGAAUUCAAAAACAUUUUUGACGAAAGACCAACAAUGGAUAUGUGCAUUGGUGACAUGAUAUCGCAGUGCACAGGGUACGUGGUUAAGAGAGGAGAUUCGCUACCAGAAAACAUAUGUCCGCCUUGCCUGGAGGAUGCUAUGAGUGCCUUCAAUCUGAAGUCCACCUGUGAGCAGAACCAUACAUUCUUUUUCACGCUGAUGGACAAGGAUAAGGACGAUUGGCUACAUUCAGAUGACCGAACUGAGCAAUCGAAACAUCAAGAUGAUAGCAAUAACAGUGAUAAUUGUGAACGACUCUUCAAAUGCUCCGUCUGUCCAAAGUCCUUUCCAAGAAAAUACCACCUCAGUGAACACAGCCAUAGCCACACUGGGGAGCGACCGUACACGUGUCCACACUGCUCGAAGUCUUUCUCUCAAUCUGGAACUCUCCGGAACCACAUCCGUACUCACACAGAUGAAAGACCAUUCCAAUGCGUUCACUGUUCCAAGUCAUUUAAACUGAAAUCCCAGCUCGUCGGACACAGCCGUACUCACACAGGGGAGCGACCUUACAAGUGUUCCUACUGCGCGGUGUCGUUUAAACAGCUCGCCCAUCUUACCUCACACAUACGCUCCCACACAGGAGAAAGACCCUACAAAUGCUCUCACUGCCCAAAAACCUUCCCACAAGUGCCCAAUCUUAAUAUGCACAUUCGUACGCACACGGGUGAAAGACCCUACAAAUGCACCGAAUGCUCAAAGUCUUUUGUACAAAACUACCAUCUCAAGGAACACAUCCGCACGCACACUGGGGAGCGACCAUUCAAGUGUACGCAGUGCCCUAAGUCCUUUCAAAAAAAUGCAAAUCUUCUUGAACAUACCCGUACUCACACGGGGGGGCAACCAUAUCAAUGUCCACAAUGUCCAAAAACCUUUCUUGCUCGAGCGUAUCUCAAAAUUCACAUACGAACUCACACUCGCAACGCAGAGCUACCGUAUAAGUGUUCUCACUGUUCUGAGACCUUUGCCCAAGUGGGUAUUCUCCAGGCUCAUAUGCGUUCGCAUACGGAUGAACACGAACGACCUUACCCAUGUCCCCACUGCUCCGAAUGGUUCAGCUUGGAAGAUAACCUGAAGACUCACCUCCGAACGCACAUGGGUGAAGGACCCUACCAAUGCAACGAAUGCUCAAAGUCUUUUAUACAAAAAUACCUCUUUGAAAGACACAUCCGUACGCACUCAGAUGAUCGACCCUACCAGUGCUCUCAGUGCUCCAAGUCCUACAAACAAAAGGCCCAUCUCAGCAGUCACAUACGGGUUCACACUGGGGAGAAGAACGACAUAUCUAGUGUUUCCACUGGAGAAGAGACCCAAUCGAAGCCUCUUGAAGUGGAGGGGCCCCAUAAAUGCUCUCACUGCUCGAAGUCAUUUAAGAUACAAUCUCAUCUCCAAAUACACAUCCGUGUUCACACGGGAGAUCGACCGUAUAAGUGCUCUGACUGCUGGAUGUCGUUUAAACAACACUCCCAUCUUCGAAUGCACAUACGCUCCCACACAGGUGAAAGACCCCACCAAUGCGCCCAAUGCUUAAAAGCCUUCUCAGAAGAAUCCAAUCUUAGAAGACACUUGCAUACGCACACAGAUAAACGACCGUUCCAAUGCACCGAAUGCCCAAAGUCUUUUAUAAGAAAAGCCCGUCUUGAAAGACACAAAGAAAAAGACCAUCUCAACGAACACAUACCUGCUCAUACUGGAGAGAUAAUCGAUCCAUCUGGUGCACCCACUGCGAUUCCAGACAUCAACAGCAUUUAAAGAACCAAACGGUAUGCAACUGAUAUUACUUGAUACGAAGUAUCUCCAUAGACACA